rnacentral:rRNA from 1 species
AUUGAACGCUGGCGGCAGGCCUAACACAUGCAAGUCGAGCGGAUGAAGGGUGCUUGCUCCUGGAUUCAGCGGCGGACGGGCGAGUAAUGCCUAGGAAUCUGCCUGGUAGUUGUUGAUAACGUCCGGAAACGGGCGCUAAUACCGCAUUCGUCCUUAGGGAGAAAGUGGGGGAUCUUCGGACCUCACGCUAUCAGAUGAGCCUAGGUCGGAUUAGCUAGUUGGUGGGGUAAAGGCCUACCAAGGCGACGAUCCGUAGCUGGUCUGAGAGGAUGAUCAGUCACACUGGAACUGAGACACGGUCCAGACUCCUACGGGAGGCAGCAGUGGGGAAUAUUGGACAAUGGGCGAAAGCCUGAUCCAGCCAUGCCGCGUGUGUGAAGAAGGUCUUCGGAUUGUAAAGCCCUUUAAGUUGGGAGGAAGGGCAGUAAGUUAAUACCUUGCUGUUUUGACGUUACCAAAAGAAUAAGCACCGGCUAACUUCGUG